GAUGAGGUGGCUGAGCAUGGUAAAGCAGCAGUUUGCUAAACUGUCGGGCAAGAGUCUCACAUGGGUUCAAAUCCCAUUCUCAUCG
rnacentral:tRNA from 1 species